UACAGGGGGUGCAAACGUUGCUCGGAAUCAUUGGGCGUAAAGCGCACGUAGGCGGUUCGUUAUGUCGGAUGUGAAAGCCCUUGGCUUAACCGAGGAAGUGCAUCCGAAACUGGCGAGCUAGAGUACGAAAAGAGGAUCGCGGAAUUCCCGGUGUAGAGGUGAAAUUCGUAGAUAUCGGGAGGAACACCGGUGGCGAAGGCGGCGAUCUGGGUCGAUACUGACGCUGAGGUGCGAAAGCGUGGGGGAGCAAACAGG
rnacentral:rRNA from 1 species